GACGAACCGUCCGAACGUUAUUCGGAAUCACUGGGCUUAAAGGGUGCGUAGGCGGCCAUGUAAGUAGGGUGUGAAAUCCCCCGGCUUAACCGGGGAACUGCGCCCUAAACUGUGUGGCUUGAGUGAGAUAGGGGUGUGUGGAACUUCCGGUGGAGCGGUGAAAUGUGUUGAUAUCGGAAGGAACGCCGGUGGCGAAAGCGACACACUGGGUCUCAACUGACGCUGAGGCACGAAAGCCAGGGGAGCGAACGGG
rnacentral:rRNA from 1 species